rnacentral:misc_RNA from 1 species
GCUAUUUUUUCCUCUUACUAGUUGUGUUCUUAUUCUUCUCAUUCUCUCAGUAGAAAGCGGCAAGAAAUUCUCUUAUCUUGACAAGAAUCGAUUACUGGGUACUUAAAAAUCUAACCUGGAAUGAGAUGGGAUUGUACAGAUCAUCAAAACCCUAAUAAUUCUUUCUGUUGGAUUGAUUAUUAAGUAUUUCUUGUAAAAUGCUCUUGUAUGAAGCCUCCCUGGCUAACUCCGAUUCUGCCGUUGUAAUAGAUUUGCAAUAUAAUUUUCAUUGGUAAAUGUGGACUAUGGAAAUCAUUGAAGUUGAAGAAAAUUUAUUUGCAGCAAGUGAUGCUAAGCUACAUGGAGUAAUGUGCAAGGCACUCUCUGUAAUAUAUUGCAAAAUCGUGUCAAUUUUUCCUUCUUUGGAAGCGGCACGACCCAGGAGCAAAUCUGGCAUUCAAGCAUUAUG